GUCAGUGUUCCUGGAGACGGGGUUUCCAUGGAAUCUCUUCAGAUUAGCAAACCGUAAAACACACAGACCAUAACAAGUUCAUCCGAACCUUUCUUGUAAACAAGCUCAAGGAACCACUGGGGAAAACCCCUGGGAGCUUGCAUCAGCAGCCAAUAAUUGUGCUCCUCCAUCCCCAUGACACCCAUCGUGCUAAUCUGAAGAAAAACCCUGUCUACAAACAGGCAGCCUCUUGCUGAGUCCUGACUCCCAACCCUCUCGCUCCCAGGUUGCGCAGAAUGAACAGACAAUAAACCUUGGUGAUGGGUUAGGUGGCCAAUUGGAAGCAAGCGGACAGUGGUAUGUGUCUAAUCAAUUGUUAGAGAUAUAAGUAUAGGUCGUUCAUUCAAGAGUGAUUGGGUUUACAUAAUUUACACUUCUUCAAGAAAAUGACUUUUAAGGAGGCAGCUAAAGUAAGGGCCCACCUGGAAGAACAUUCUGGCGAAGGAGACAGUUAGUUGACAAUCCUCAAGGAACGCCCAAAAGACCACUCACUGUCUCUGGAGGACAGGACAGGGGAUAGAGUGCUUGUACUCCUGAACAAGAUGGAAUCAGGUGGUUUUUCACACCAGAGAAGGCAAUUCUAAGGGCAAAAAAAAAUCCACUAUGGUAUUCGUAUAGCCAUGACAGAAUUUUAUGGGUUUUCGAUUUGGUUUGGUUUGAUUUUAACACGACACUUGAAGUUUAGAGGGCAGGACUUAAGGGGUUUGAACAAACUAGCUUGGAAGAAAUAAAGUGGAAACAUUUCCACAAGAUGAACCUUACCUCCUAGCUCUUCCUCUUAAUGUAACAUGGCUACCCAAGCCCAUCUCUGUCUCUUUCUAUCAAUAUACUCAUCAAGCAAAGAUCAGGACCUUGUAAAUGUGUCUUCUAAAAUGUCUGCCUCCAUGGUUCCAUUUUUCUUUAUAAUCUAACUUUCAGAAAGCAAAUUUGUGUUAACUCUUAGGAAAUAACCUCUUCACUACUACCCUCUCUUUACCAUGAUGAUCAAAUAUAAAUAUUGGCAAACAUAGUUUAUAGGAAAAAAACUAAAUAUAUUUGUGCUUCCAGGAUUCUGUUAGGAUUUAAAACACCACCAGUGCUCUGGAAGUCUCCUUGUAUACCAUCCAAAACACUCUUCAAAUAUACUAAUCUAAUUUCUAAUACUAUGAAUUAAUUUUACAGGAUCACAAAAUUACAGAAAUACAAUCGUACAACAUAAUUUUGUAGCUGUGCGAUGUAUUCAGUUGAUGCAGCUCUAUAGGGUGCAUUGUCUCUGAGUUACAAGAUUAUGGAAUCUAUGCUACUUUUGGCUCAUUUGGGUAAUUUCUGAACUUUGGAUAUUAUAAAUAGUGCUUCUAUAAAUGUUUUUAUAUGCUAUGCUUUCCUUCUUUAUAUCCAUAAUUUGCAUUUCUAAUGUUGAUUAUAUUUUAAAACAUUUAUUGGACAUUUGUAUGUCAUUGUCGACAACAUGCUUGUUAAUGUAUCCUGCCUGUUUAGCAACUAUUAUUUUUUUUAAUGAGUUGCAAGAAUUCCUUUAUAAUUCUAUGUUGAAAUUCUGUUUUGAAUAUACAGUUAAAUUCUUCAACUUGAGACUCAGCCCUUUAAAGUGUUAAGUGGAAAGAGGAAUUAGUAAGAGAUUUUAGAGAUUUGUUAUCUUAUUAAUUACGUGUGUGCCUGUAUGCGUGCAUAAGUGUUAUUACAUGUCCCGUGUGCCAGUAGAGGUCUGACACAGUGUCAGACACCCUGAAGCUAAAGUUGCAUGCAUUUGUGAGCCUCUGUAAAGGCAAAGAACAUUCUGGAUCACUGAGCCAGCCCUCCAGCCUUAGUAAUAAUACUUUUGAAAGCACCUUUUCGUGGUUCCACAGAAUACAAUUUACAACAUUUCAGUACAACACGCUAAGACGUACUGAGGGCCUUUGCAUUAUUAGCAGUAAGAAUAACAUCCUAGGCCUGGAGAGCAGCUGUGCUGCUGAAGGGCACUGGUUUUUCUUUCAGAAGGCCUGGGUUCAAUUUCUACUAUCCACGUGUCAGCUCAGGGCCCUUUGAAACUGCCAUUUCUAGGGAUGUUAUAUACUCCUCAGGCCCCUGAGGAUACAAGAAAUACACUCAUACAUAAAAUACAUACAGUAAAAACCGACAAUCCUUUAAAAUGUCUUAAUGUAUAAUUUUUUUCUAAUACCUACAAACUUAAAUUCCAGACCAAACUUUGAUUCCCAGACCCACUCCCAUCAAGUUCAAAUGCCCCUGUAACAAAGUUUUAUUUAGCUCUUGUUUUCUAUGUCCUUGCAAGCAAUUCAGAAAGGAUGGAGGGGUCAAUAAAGCUCAGAAAGAUAUACACUACACAAAAAACAACAACUUCGGCCUCAUAAUGCCACUAUCCUGUAAGGAAGGCAGUCUAUUAUCUAAAUAGAAGACAGUUUAGAUGGACGGUCUGUCGCUGACUAGAACAAUGUUUCUGUACAAUUAGAAUAAAUCUACCCUUAAGUCAAAACACUUUACUCCCAACUGUCAGUAUAUUGUUUUAAUGUAUGAAUCUUUUUAGAACAAAACUUUUUUUGUGCCAUCUGCCUGAAGUCUAUUUAAAUAAACACUGAGGGAGGAGGGCGUGACGUGCUCUACACACAUAUACACAGCAAAUACAAUCAUCCAAAGAAGAGUGGAUGGCUGGAGUAGGAGAAAGUCAGCAUUUUACAGCCAGACUGGGCAGUUUUCUACAGUCUCUGCAGUUUCCUCAGUCUGCAGCAGCAGCCUGUCUUCAACGUGUCCUAAAGGUCACAUGUCUUCAUAACACUUCUUCC